rnacentral:rRNA from 1 species
CAGUCGCCGCGGUAAUACGGAGGGGGCUAGCGUUGUUCGGAAUUACUGGGCGUAAAGCGCACGUAGGCGGCUUUGUAAGUCAGAGGUGAAAGCCCGGGGCUCAACCCCGGAAUUGCCUUUGAGACUGCAUCGCUUGAAUCCAGGAGAGGUGAGUGGAAUUCCGAGUGUAGAGGUGAAAUUCGUAGAUAUUCGGAAGAACACCAGUGGCGAAGGCGGCUCACUGGACUGGUAUUGACGCUGAGGUGCGAAAGCGUGGGGAGCAAACAGGAUUAGAUACCCGUGUAGUCCCUGUCUCUUAUAC